GGGCUGGUCUCCAGCGCCAAAAUGCCUGAAAAAAUGUUAUACCAGGCAGCUGAUAAAUGGUUAUUUCCCAAGACACCAGAGGGAUUUUUACAAAGAAGGUGAAACAGCUACAUAUGCCUGCAACAAUUAUUACCGUGCCGAGCAUAAAGUCGUCACGUGCAGAAGGAAUGGCUGGUCACCUCAUCCCAGAUGUAUCCCUGAAAACAUAUGUUAUGCCAGCCAGCUGAUAAAUGGUUAUUUCCCAAGAGGCAGGACGGGUCUUUACAAACAAGGUGAAAGAACUACAUACACCUGCAACCCUGAUUACCAUGCUGUGCAUCAAGUCGUCACCUGCACAGAGAAUGGCUGGUUCCCUCCUCCCAGAUGUAUCC